UUCUAUAUCUCUAUAGAAGCUUUUAUGUUAAAACUAGUAACAAGAAUAAAAUUCUCCUAAUGCAAGCGUAAGUCAGAAAGGAUAAACCACUGAUAAUUAACACCUGUGAGCCCAUAGAAGCAACUCCACAAGAAAACCCUUCCUCAUCCAAUGUUAAUCUUACUCAAGAGCAUUUCUGGAAAGAUUAAAAGAGAAAGAAGGAACUCGGCAAAAUUUAACCCCGCCUGUUUACCAAAAACAUCGCCUUUUGAAAACUAAUAAAAGGUCUAGCCUGCCCAGUGACUUUGUUCAACGGCCGCGGUAUCCUAACCGUGCGAAGGUAGCGUAAUCACUCGUUCUUUAAAUGAGGACUAGUAUGAAUGGCAUCACGAGGGUUCUACUGUCUCCUCCCUCUAAUCAGUGAAACUAAUCUCCCCGUGAAGAAGCGGGGAUAAGCCUAUAAGACGAGAAGACCCUAUGGAGCUUUAAACACACAACAAUUGCCCCGCUCCCCUAUAAAUCUCCGGAAAGCCAUCUACCCGGGCAUUUUGAUUGCAAGUUUUAGGUUGGGGUGACCGCGGAGUAAAAAUUAACCUCCACAGCGAAUGGGACUUCUCCCUAAACUCAGGGUUACGACCCUAAGAAUCAAUAAAUUGACACCCAUUGACCCAAUUUCUUUGACCAACGAACCAAGUUACCCUAGGGAUAACAGCGCAAUCCAUUUCAAGAGCUCCUAUCGACAAGUGGGUUUACGACCUCGAUGUUGGAUCAGGGUACCCCAGUGGUGCAGCCGCUGCUAACGGUUCGUUUGUUCAACGAUUAAAACCCUACGUGAUCUGAGUUCAGACCGGAGCAAUCCAGGUCAGUUUCUAUCUAUAAAGAGUUUCUUCUAGUACGAAAGGACCGAAGAAACAUGGCCAAUGCCCCCGUAAGCCAUAGCAACUUAUUUAUGACUUAACCUCAAUAAAAACAUGCUUCUAAAUGAACUCAAGAAAAGAGUA
rnacentral:rRNA from 1 species